rnacentral:tRNA from 1 species
UCAUUUUUGGGGUAUGAACCCAACAGCUUAUAAUUUAGCUUAUUUUACAAUAUAAUUGUUUUGUGC